GGGUUAGUAGGUUGGUCAUGCCUCUGGUAUGUACUGGUCUCACUGAUUCCUCCCUCUUGACGAACUGUAAUGUCAUUAAUUUGGUGUUGCAGGAAAUCAGGACUGUUACUUUGAAAAAAUUAGAGUGUUUAAAGCAGGCUAAGGCUUGAAUACAUUAGCAUGGAAUAAUGAAAUAGGACGUUGAUCCUAUUUUGUUGGUUUCUAGGAUUGACG
rnacentral:rRNA from 1 species